rnacentral:rRNA from 1 species
UACGUAGGGGGCAAGCGUUGUCCGGAUUUAUUGGGCGUAAAGCGCACGCAGGCGGUCUUUUAAGUUUUGAGUGACAGGUGAUGGCUCAACUAUCACAGGCCUUGAAAAACUGGAAGACUUGAGGGCGAGAGAGGGACGCGGAAUUCCAGGUGGAGCGGUGAAAUGCGUAGAUAUCUGAAGGAACAUCAAUGGCGAAAGCGACUUCCUGGACCAAUACUGACGCUCAUGUGCGAAAGCGUGGGGAGCAAACAGG